AUUUAUCCCGGAGUGAAAAGACUGCCGACUACUGGACCUAUUUAAAUGGUACAAUGUGUAAAUGGAAUGUGUUUGACAACAAGCCAAUCGGAAAAACAGAUUCAUAAAGCGGUUCAUUCAGAAUUUAAAAAAAAAACCUUAAACCGAGUUUUCUUUAUCAAAUCUACUGGUUAGUUUUUGAGAAAAAUCGUCAAAUAAAAAGCAAAUCAGCUUCAUCAGAAACAGGUUCAUCUAGGUAAAUUUGUUCGUUCAGAAUUUAAAAAAACUUUUUUAAAUUCGUGUGAAACCGUGUUAUCUUUAUCAUAUUUACUGGUUUGUUUUCUAGCUAAAUUUAAAAUGGAACAACCUCCACCCAUUGAGGAUAUCAGGUAAACUGAUGGAUGAUUUUGAUGAAGGAUUGUUUUUGUAAAAUCUUUAUCUUUCAGAAAAAAAUACGAGUCAGAUCUACAAUGGAAUCUGAGGAGGGCAUUCAUUGAAAGAAAUGAAGAGAAAAUGGAGAGACGCAAGCUUCUGAAGUUGUCCGGUAACCUUAUGAACAUGGAAUUUGUUGGAAAGUAAGUAGCCUAUUCUAUUGUAAUGGAAAUUUAGGACUUCGUUUGUAAUAAUGAUUAAUUUCUAAGGUUUCGAUACCCCAUCAAAGUUUACCAUGAACUCAAUAAUUUGGCAGGAAAUCUAUGGGAAGAAUUCAGACGGGAGAAGAAACUUGCCAGGAUAAGGGAUUACAUCUCAGAGGGGAACCUUUUUUAGCUAAUGGGAGGCUAUGGGAGACUGAAAUUCUACUGGACGGAAAACUGAUUGCGUUUGCCGACCAUAGAUCUCGGAAUUUGUCCAUAAAACUCGCUUUCGAGUCCUCAUUCUGGCAACUCCAACAAUCCCAAUUGUGGUCAAUGACGAAUCCUACGAGCAUGUCGAGGAUUUCGUUUUUGUAUGAAUCCAUGAACCACGUUGCUUUUUGCUACCCAUCCCUCUAUGCUAACUUCGCAUUCCAAGACUCGCCUAUGUAAUAUUACUAAUAUUCUAUCUUAUCUUAGAAUGUUAAAUAUGUCUUGAUUUCAUUUUCUUAUGCAUUCGUUACAUUGGAUUCGAGGAAAUGGGGUUUGGGAAUAACAGAAAUUAUUUCAAUCUUCCAUUUGAUUUUUCACUUCAGGCUCAGAAUUUUUUGAAAAACUUCGUUUCUGAACAGUC